UGUGAAACCUGGUCUAGAUGUUAUAAACAGCUUGGUCAAGGCAGUUCAGGGAGAGGUGGUCCAAAGAAUACUGAAAGCCAAACAGGAUCAGCUGAUUCACAAUGAUGUAUUAAUCCUCUCCUCUGUAGAAGAUUAUACAAUUUGCUUACAAUAUCUCCACAAAGGAGCUUCCAUCUAUGACUCAGAGCUUUUGCUGAAUGGUAUUGUAACCCAGGAACUGCAAUAUGAGAGAUAUAGACUUUUCAAAGAUCGGAAGGAGAAUGGCCAUUGAUCUCUGUAAUCAUUAAGGGCAAAUGGUGAUCAUGUAUUAUAGUAAUAUGUAAAUGGCAAUAUAUCCCAACUCAUAUGCCUGAAUCCACAGGAGGAUCUGAUGUGUACCUCUUUUCAUGCUUAUUAAUGGCUAGUUUUCAGUGUUCAA